CCUACGGGUGGCAGCAGUGGGGAAUAUUGCACAAUGGGGGAAACCCUGAUGCAGCGACGCCGCGUGAGUGAAGAAGUAAUUCGUUAUGUAAAGCUCUAUCAGCAGGGAAGAAAAUGACGGUACCUGAGUAAGAAGCCCCGGCUAACUACGUGCCAGCAGCCGCGGUAAUAAGUAGGGGGCAAGCGUUAUCCGGAUUUACUGGGUGUAAAGGGAGCGUAGACGGCAGUGCAAGUCUGGAGUGAAAGGCGGGGGCUCAACCCCCGGACUGCUCUGGAAACUGUACGGCGGGAGUGCAGGAGAGGUAAGUGGCAUUCCUAGGGUAGCGGUGAAAUGCGUAGAUAUUAGGAGGAACACCAGUGGCGAAGGCGGCUUACUGGACUGUAACUGACGUUGAGGCUCGAAAGCGUGGGGAGCAAACAGGAUUAGAUACCCGAGUAGUC
rnacentral:rRNA from 1 species